CCCUUGCCUUUCCUAAUAAGGAAAAAUUGUACCAAAAAAAAAACAAUUUUCUUUUUAUUUACCUAAAAGUACUUUAGGUUUCGAUCGUUCGUAAAAUAUCGGAAAUUCAUACCACUGGAUAUUAAUGUUAUUCAGUCUUACUAAAUUUGGCAUAAAUUUAUUAAGAUAUCAACUAUCUUGAGAUAACUCCGAAUUUCAUAUGAUAAUGUCAUUCUAUUUCUUAUCUUAUAAUGAAUAUUUUCAAGUGUUUCAUACAGAUAACUCGAACAUGAUGUUUAAAUAUUGUAUAAAUCAAUACGAACGGUGACAUCAAUAAACAAGGUCGUAUUUUAAUCGGCGCGCUAUUGCAUGACAAAAAGUCUUCGCGCAGUGAGUCGAGCGAUACUCUGUUCAGAGUGCAAAGUACACAUUUAAAAUGUCUGUGAAAUCUAAGCUACUGAAAGCAUUGAUUUUAGGCGCUCCAGCAUCCGGAAAAGGAACUAUAUCGUCUCGUAUAGUGAAAAAAUACAAUAUUGAGCAUGUGUCUAGUGGAGAUAAGCUCAGGGACCACAUAGCAAAACAAACAGAACUGGGCAAAGAGGUUAAAGCAUACCUUGACGAAGGAAAACUUGUACCUGAUGAUUUAAUGAUUAAAUUCAUGAUAAAGGAAUUGAAGGAAGUCAACAACAAACCAUGGCUCUUAGAUGGAUUUCCGAGAACAGUAGAACAAGCUAAUGCUCUAUGGAAAGUUCAGCCUGUGGAUGUGGUACUUAAUCUUGUAGUGCCAUUUGAUGUGAUUAUAGAUCGGGUGAAAAGUAGAUGGGUGCAUUUACCUUCAGGACGGGUGUACAACAUUGGGUUCAACACACCUAAACAAGAAGGUAAGGAUGAUGUGACAGGAGAACCUCUAGUACAGCGACCUGAUGAUAAACCCGAAGCCGUAAAGAAGAGGCUAGAAAUAUACGAAAAUAUAACCAGACCUGUUAUUGAGUUUUACAAGCAAAAGGGUAUCCUAAAAGAAUUUGAAGGGCGCACAUCAGAUGAAAUAUGGCCAAAAGUCACAAAAUAUUUAGAUCCAAUUUUUAAAUAAAUAGUCUUAUUAGCUUAUAAGUUAUUAAAGUGGUGCUAAAUUUUUAUAAAUGUUUUACAAUUAUACUAGUUCAAUAUGCACAUAUUAUACAAUUUUAAAUAUUUAAAUACAUACUGUGGAUGUCUUUUUCCAUUAUACUUUUAUUCAUAAUGUAACAAUUUCUGAAAUUAUGUGAUAUUUAUUUCAAUGAAAUCUAGCGCACAAAAAACCCAAAUUCAACAGAAUUUUUCUUUCUUCGUUAAAGAUGAUAUUGAAAACAAACACGAGUUUAUACCAAGCCAAAGAAGAAUAAGAUGGAACCAAAUAUAUUGAUUUAUAUUGUUGAUUUAAAUCUAAGUAAUAUAAAAGUAUAGCUUCAAGUAGACAGUCUUCUGUUGUAGAAUUUAUAACUGAUGUACUUAUAGUAGAAAUUAGGAUUUAGUCACGGUUUUAGUCAAAGCAGUAAUGCUUGAAAAUAACUUCGUAGUAAUCUUAUAUUAAGACUGCUGGUCUGGCAAGUCCCUCUAUCUUUCUCUAAUGCAAUUAGAGUCCCUCUAUCUCUCUCUCUAAUUGCAUUAGAGAAAGAUAGAGGGACUAUGUUAAAAGAUAGUGAAUAAUUCAUGAUGCUUAAGGUAGUUUAUGGAGUUUGAUUAUCAUGGGCAUGCAUAUCUCAUAUUCAUCUAAAGUCAUAGUUCUUUCUUACAUUCUUUAUUCCAUUUUACAAUUUUUGAUGUUUUUAAAAAUUCUUUUCAAGCCACGUCUGUCUGAAAUUGUAAAUUACGAAAAAACAAAACAGAAGUUAUACAGUGCUUAAUGAGGUCCAAUGAUUUUUACAUUUGUGUUUUGUAUUGAUAUGAAAUAUUGUCAUGAAAUUUCUUAAAUAGGCUAAUUAAUUUUUAUUGAACAUCUUGUCUACUGCCUACUUGUAAUGUAAAAUGCAGGGAUUUACUCUGAGUUUUAUGUAGAUUUUUGGGAAGAAUCUGAUAAUGCACAAUUUGUUUUCUUAUACACCAUUCAGUCGAAAAACACAACCUCACCCUUCAUUCCCACCAAAAGCUCUGCAUUAGUCUGAUUAUUGAAAAUGAACAAACAAUGUACUUACUUAGUUACCAAUGUUACUUAAAUAAAUAAUUAUUUUGAUUAAAUAUAAGUUCAUUGUUUUCUGGUUGGUAAAGAGGAUUGUUUUUUAAAUUAAAAUUAUUUUUCCUUUAUAAUCAUGGUUUACUUAUAUUCAUUUUUUCAAUAAACCCUUAUUACCAAUACAUAAAAUAAAAUAGUACAUACAGGUUUGUCAGUACCGUGAGAAAAUUAAUAAAAAUACAUUAUAGGUAGAAUUUAUACCAAAUUCAGAAUUAUGUUCUCUGCUGUUUGUUAGCGCACUUCUUCGAAAUUACGGAGUGGAUUUUCAUGUAAUUUUCAUCAAUAGACUGGUACUAAUUUGAUUCAGAAUAUAAAAUGGGGUUUGUUUCACUAAAAUUUACUUUUAUAUUGUAAAGUAUUAAAAAUUACGUAAAAUAAAUAAUAUUAUGUACAAAAGUAACUGUUUUACGUUUCACGCUCAAACCAAUAACCGAUUUUGAUGAUAAUCGGUUUCUAAAUAGUUUGAACUCUGGGGUAAAUGUUUCAUAACAUUUCUGGAUAUGGGUCUCCGCUCCCGGCUCCAAUCGUUAUUUAAAUAAAUAUUAAAAACGUUUAGAUUUAUAGGUCAAUUUGAUGACUACGCAAGAUAUACCUAGGUAGGGGCAAAAUAAAGCAUCUUCGACUUCAACUAAGAUACCCUUUGAAUGAUUUUAUUCUUUAUAACAUGUUAGUCAUUUGGAUUUUACGUUAUUGUAAAUAUCUUAACAAAUCUCUUAAUGGCUUAGUUAAUUUUGUCCACCGGCUGCUUGGGUCCGCUAUUGCUAGUAUGACAUUGUAUAUACCGAAUUGUACGUGAUUCUAGCGGGUACCUGUCGUCUAGGUAAAGAUACAAUAAUGGGAAAGAAGGUGUAGGUGAGCUCACAGGCUUAACUGUAGAGAGUUUGCUAAGACUAGCUCUAGCAAAAGUAGUGCUUCGUUGAAUCUACCACCGGAUCGGUAUCGCGACAUACUGAGAAAAUCCGGCGAGAAACUCGGUCAGUUGUGUCUAUGGGUUAGUUUGUGGAACUCUUCGUUGUAAUCGAAGAGUUCGACGAAGACGGUGACCGGUGCUUAUAGAAACGAUCUUAUCAAAAUGUACGUUUCACUUCUUCAGGGACGAAUCGUUUAAAGUACAAAAAACAUGAAAUUAGUUUAUUCUUUAUUGCGAUUUGUUUAUUUUGAAUUGAAAACAAUGCAUAGGUUAAAAAAAAACAUAGUGAAUAUACAUACAUUCAAAAAAAUAUGUUCACGUUGUGGCAAUUUAGCGUAGACUUAAUUAAAUAAAUAAUUUAAAAAAAACGUACACUUAUGUGCCAAUGUCCCUGAACAGGUUAACCUGGGUGGCGAGGACUACUUCCAUCAACUGUUGAUAAUUCAAUAAACAACGAUUGGAAAGUAUUGAAAUUAUUUUAAAACUUAAAAUGCAGUAAUAUUUUUUAUCCCUCCAAUUGUUCAACUAAAGUAAGAUUUUACAAAGUAGAAUUCGGAAGUUACUGGAUUGAAUAGUUGGUCGUAUGAAUAAGCGUCCAAGGCGUUUUAGUGACAGGUAGGGCUAACUGGCACGUGGUAUUGCACGUGCAAUUUAUGUUUCGAACUUUGACAAUCCAGCAACUGAGUUGAAUUUGGUCAUUAUGCAACAGGAGCAAUUGCUGAAAAUGUCAAUUAUUAUAUGUUCAAAACCGUCAUUUUUUUCUGCUCAUGGUAUCUUACAUUAUGUAUUUCAGAAAAACUCAAAUCACAUCGCACGCAUCACGUUCACUAGAACAUAUGACUCUUUAUGAUCACAUUAUUUUUUUUACGUUUCAAAGGAUUGCGCACUUGUCUCGAUGCAAGCUUAUGUAUUUAGAAACGUUUAUUGGAAGAGACGGUUCGGGCGGAAAGGCCUUAACUAGGUACUAAGUAGUCAGUUACUUAGAAUCCUUAACUAGGUACUUAGUAGUCAGUGUUUUGAUGAAAUACCUCAGACUGAUACCAACGUGAACAGUGCUAUUAUAGCUGUAUUCAACUAGAUUAUAUUUGAAGCCUGUUAUUCGCAGUGAAAAAAUAAAAAAAGAACAUGUAGGUAUUUGCUUGAAAAUAUGCUUGAGUAUGCAAAAAGUAGGUACAUAUACUUUGUUUUAUUUUUUUGCGCAUUGUACAGAAAUAUCAAAUCUAGAUUAUAACAAAUUGUUAAGUUGUUAUGUGUAAAAAAGCCUUACUCAACGGUGAACGAAAUGAGUUAGUUUUACUUCCUCGCAAUUCUGUGCUCCGGAUAUCUAAGCAUGCCAAGAAAAGCUGUUCAUGGAAAACUGGACAUUUCAAGAAGAAUGUGAAGAUUAACUUGACACGCAAUCAAAUUGAAAAUAAAAAGAAAAUCACGUAAUGCUGAUGUACACUUUUUAAAAAUAUAAUUUAAUUUAAAUAAACAAAGUGUAAAAUUCGUUUUAAAACUAAUUUUACCGCUACCGAUUUUAAAAUUAGUUUUAAAAUUAAAGUAGUUUUAAAACUAAUUUCAUACUUUGUAAGUAAAUUUUAAAACUAGGACGAGACUGUCAAUGUUUUUUAUGAAGUUUAUUAAGGAAGUAUUUAAGGAAGUUUAUUAAGGAAGAUUCUAGCAUAAGUACUAAAUUACCAGAGCGUGGUUCAUUUGGAACUCGCUUAUUGAUGGUCGUAUCGCAUUCACUCUAGUCGCAGUUGUAACCUGUUCAACAUCUCCUUUAGCGCAUAGUGCCCUGGUACCUCCGGUUCUAGUUUUCCGAAUCGUUUAUCCACGUUUAUCCGGGUUAUCUUUGAGCCGAAAAUGACAUUUGCUUUUUUCCUAUUUUUGUACGGUUUCGGUCUUGCUGAAAGCUAUAGUUAUGGUUACGGUGACAAUGGAUAUUAUUUCGAAAACCAUAAAUAUUGUGAUGAUUUGUCUCCGUAUUAUGGUGAUAUAAAUUUUGAGCAAAUUACUGGUGUUUGGUAUGGUGUCGAAAAGAUACCACAUACAAAAGGAGAAUAUAAAAUAGAGCAUACUCAGCAAUGUUUUUACAUCGACAUCAAGGAGUUAUACAUAGAGCCUACUCCACCGACGCCGUAUCCCAAUCUGAUAAAUACUCCGUACAUGAACCGGCAGUACAACUUAGGUAUGCCUGAGCAAUAUCGGAUUCGACAGUUCGUUUUGGAAUGGCACGAAGGUCUGUGGCGUGAUGACUAUCACAUCAAAGUCAAUACUUCACACAAAGGUUUCUGGCAAACGGAUGUACCCCAAGGCACCGUUGAAGAUAUGUAUCGAUUCUUCGGGGGCGUUAUUCAAGUACUGAAAGUGGCCAAUAAUCAUUUGGUGUUGAACUUCUGCAUGCGCCUGCCUAGCUCCCAGCUCUUCAGUGUGGUGCUUUCCCGAAAUGAAAACCAGCUGACUCGUGAAGAUCUUGCAAGCAUACACAACGUUUUCACAAUGAAGCAUUUGUCAACUUCGGCGUUGAAGAGAGUCUGCGAGAAUUCAUCUUCUACGAUAAUAUUAUCUAGUUUAGUUUUUGCAUUAGCUUUCAUUAAUAUUUUGAAAAUACGCCUUUUAUAAGAUUUUUUUUUUGGUGCUUUUCUUGAGAAGAGUUAAUUUCACUUAAAACGUGUAUGAUGUUUUCGCUUAUUUAUUGUAUAGUUUUCUUGAUCGAAUUAUGAAAGGUUUUGAAACGCCCAUUAACUCAAUUAUUUUUUAUAAUAAGUUACUAAAAUAAAUUUCAGUAAAUGUGGGUGAUGAACUGUAAUAGUUAACUCGAAAAUAUUAACAAUAAAACUUUAUAUUUUA